rnacentral:ncRNA from 2 species
GCAGCGGAACGGCUCGGGGUGAAGCCGCGUACGGCACACAGCGCCGUAGGCGGCCGGGCACCUCCCGGCCCGAACCCGACAGCUCACCUCGCAGGCGCCGGAGAGGAACAUC